UACGUAGGGUGCGAGCGUUGUCCGGAAUUACUGGGCGUAAAGAGCUCGUAGGUGGUUUGUCGCGUUGUUCGUGAAAUCUCACGGCUUAACUGUGAGCGUGCGGGCGAUACGGGCAGACUGGAGUACUGCAGGGGAGACUGGAAUUCCUGGUGUAGCGGUGAAAUGCGCAGAUAUCAGGAGGAACACCGGUGGCGAAGGCGGGUCUCUGGGCCGAUAUUGAUGCUGAGGAGCGAAAGCGUGGGGAGCGAACAGG
rnacentral:rRNA from 1 species